GACGAACGCUGGCGGCGUGCUUAACACAUGCAAGUCGAACGAGGUUACAACCGGUGGCAACACCGGGGACGGCCUAGUGGCGAACGGGUGAGUAUCACGUGAGGAACCUGCCCCGAAGACCGGGAUAACCCUCCGAAAGGAGAGCUAAUACCGGAUGCCCUCACCGGGCCGCAUGAUCUGGUGAGGAAACUGGAUUCCGCUUCGGGAGGGCCUCGGCGGCCUAUCAGCUUGUUGGUGGGGUAACGCCCACCAGGCUUCGACGGUAGCUGGUCUGAGAGGACGAUCAGCCAC
rnacentral:rRNA from 1 species